ACUCCUACGGGAGGCAGCAGUGGGGAAUAUUGCACAAUGGGGGAAACCCUGAUGCAGCCAUGCCGCGUGUGUGAAGAAGGCCUUCGGGUUGUAAAGCACUUUCAGUAGGGUAGGAAGGUAGUGUAGUUAACACCUGCACUAUUUGUACGUUACCUACAGAAGAAGCACCGGCUAACUCCGUGCCAGCAGCCGCGGUAAGUACGGAGGGUGCGAGCGUUAAUCGGGAAUUACUGGGCGUAAAGCGCAUGCAGGCGGCCUGUUAAGUCAGAUGUGAAAGCCCGGGGCUUAACCUCGGAAUUGCAUUUGAAACUGGCAGGCUAGAGUCUUGUAGAGGGGUUAGAA
rnacentral:rRNA from 1 species